rnacentral:rRNA from 1 species
GGAACUAGAUGUGGGGACCAUUCCACGGUCUCCGUGUCGCAGCUAACGCAUUAAGUUCCCCGCCUGGGGAGUACGGCCGCAAGGCUAAAACUCAAAGGAAUUGACGGGGGCCCGCACAAGCGGCGGAGCAUGCGGAUUAAUUCGAUGCAACGCGAAGAACCUUACCAAGGCUUGACAUAUACCGGAAACGGCCAGAGAUGGUCGCCCCGCAAGGUCGGUAUACAGGUGGUGCAUGGUUGUCGUCAGCUCGUGUCGUGAGAUGUUGGGUUAAGUCCCGCAACGAGCGCAACCCUCGUUCUAUGUUGCCAGCACGUUAUGGUGGGAACUCAUAGGAGACUGCCGGGGUCAACUCGGAGGAAGGUGGGGAUGACGUCAAAUCAUCAUGCCCCUUAUGUCUUGGGCUUCACGCAUGCUACAAUGGCCGGUACAAAGGGCUGCGAUACCGUAAGGUGGAGCGAAUCCCAAAAAGCCGGUCUCAGUUCGGAUUGAGGUCUGCAACUCGACCUCAUGAAGUCGGAGUCGCUAGUAAUCGCAGAUCAGCAACGCUGCGGUGAAUACGUUCCCGGGCCUUGUACACACCGCCCGUCAAGUCAUGAAAGUCGGUAACACCCGAAGCCAGUGGCCUAACCCCUUGUGGGAUGGAGCUGUCGAAGGUGGGA